UGAAUACGAGAUGCUACGGCGUCGAAGCAGUCUAUGUCAUACUUCCAAGAAAAGCUCGCACUGUCAUAAACAAAUAAUGCCUGUACCAUAACCGACACAGGUGGGUAGGUAGAGUAUACUAAGGGGCGCGAGAUAACUCUCUCUAAGGAACUCGGCAAAAUGACUCCGUAACUUCGGGAGAAGGAGUGCCUUAUUUAUAAGGUUGCAAUAACAAGAUCCAAGCAACUGUUUAUCAAAAACACAGGUCUCCGCUAAGUCGUAAGACGAUGUAUGGGGGCUGACGCCUGCCCAGUGCCAGAAGGUUAAAGAAGUUGGUUAGCAUUCGCGAAGCUGAUAACUGAAGCCCUGGUGAACGGCGGCCGUAACAAUAACGGUCCUAAGGUAGCGAAAUUCCUUGUCGGGUAAGUUCCGACCCGCACGAAAGGCGUAAUGAUUUGGAUACUGUCUCGGAGAGGGGCUCGGUGAAAUAGACUUGUCUGUGAAGAUGCGGACUACCUGCACCAGGACAGAAAGACCCUAUGAAGCUUUACUGUAACUUGAGAUUGAAAUUGGACUUUACUUGCGCAGUAUAGGUGGGAGGCGUUGAUAAUAUUCUUGCGGGAUUAUUUGAGCCAUCAGUGAGAUACCACUCUUGUAAUGUUAGAUUUCUAACUUUGUAUCAUUAUCUGGUCAAAGGACAGUUUCAGGCGGGCAGUUUGACUGGGGCGGUCGCCUCCUAAACGGUAACGGAGGCGCACAAAGGUUUCCUCUGAACGGGUAGAAAUCGUAUCUAGAGUGUAAAGGCAUAAGGAAGCUUGACUGUGAGACCUACAAGUCGAGCAGGGACGAAAGUCGGUCUUAGUGAUCUGACGGUGCUGAGUGGAAAGGCCGUCACUCAACGGAUAAAAGUUACUCUAAGGAUAACAGGCUGAUCUCCCCCAAGAGUUCACAUCGACGGGGAGGUUUGGCACCUCGAUGUCGGCUCAUCGCAUCCUGGGGCGGUAGUACGUCCCAAGGGUUGGGCUGUUCGCCCAUGAAAGCGGUACGCGAGCUGGGUUCAGAACGUCGUGAGACAGUUCGGUCCAUAUCCGGUGUAGGCGUUAGAAUAUUGAGAGGAGCCUUCUUUAGUACGAGAGGACCGAGAAGGACAUACCUCUGGUGUACCAGUUAUCGUGCCAACGGUAAACGCUGGGUAGCUAUGUAUGGAGUGGAUAACCGCUGAAAGCAUCUAAGUGGGAAGCCCACCUCAAGAUAAGUAUUCUCA
rnacentral:rRNA from 1 species